CAGCCGGUAAUUCCAGCUCCAAUAGCGUAUAUUAAAGUUGUUGCAGUUAAAAAGCUCGUAGUUGAAUUUCGGGAUCAAUAUAUCGGUCGUGCCAUUGGUACGUACUGGUAUCAUUGGUUUCUCCUUUCUGACGAACCAUGAUGUCAUUAAUUUGGUGUUAUGGGAAGUUAGGACUGUUACUUUGAAAAAAUUAGAGUGUUUAAAGCAGGCUUUAGCUUGAAUACAUUAGCAUGGAAUAAUGAAAUAGGACGUUCGAACCUAUUUUGUUGGUUUCUAGGAUCAACGUAAUGAUUAAUAGGGAUAGUUGGGGGCAUUAGUAUUCAAUUGUCAGAGGUGAAAUUCUUGGAUUUAUUGAAGACUAACUACUGCGAAAGCAUUUGCCAAGGAUGUUUUCAUUAAUCAAGAACGAAAGUUAGGGGAUCGAAGACGAUCAGAUACCGUCGUAGUCUUAACCAUAAACUAUGCCGACUAGGGAUCGGAUGAUGUUAAUUUUUUAAUGACUCAUUCGGCGCCUUACG
rnacentral:misc_RNA from 1 species